rnacentral:pre_miRNA from 1 species
AUUUCAAUUGCUAGGUCAUCUGGUAGAAGUAAGUUGAGUUCUGUAAGAAAUUGCCAGACUGUUUUCUAAAGUGACUGUACCAUGUUUCAGUACCACUAGCAAG